GGGCGGGCCCGGCGCGGCGGAGUCCUACGAACCCCGCCAGGUCCGAGAGGAAGCAACGGUAAGGAGGUACAUCCGGGUGCCGCCGUCAGCCUGCCCGGA
rnacentral:SRP_RNA from 3 species